UCAAGCAAAAAAGAGCGCAGGGUGGAUGCCUUGGCACUAAGAGCCGAAGAAAGACGUGAUAAGCUGCGAAAAGCUGCGGGGAGGAGCAAAUAUCCACUGAUCCGCAGAUGUCUGAAUGGGGAAACCCGCAUGAGCACACCUCAUGCAUCCAUACGCCAAUCCAUAACGUAUGGAAGGGAACCGCCUGAACUGAAACAUCUAAGUAGGGCGAGGAAGAGAAAGAAAAUUUAUCGAUUUCCAAAGUAGCGGCGAGCGAAAUGGAAAGAGGCCAAACCGGAGUGCGUGCACUCCGGGGUUCGGACCGCAUUUAAGAUUCAGUGAUUCUAGCAGAAAGGUUUUGGGAAAGCCUGCCGUAGAGGGUGAAAGCCCCGUAAGCGAAAGAGGAACUGACUGAGCGGGAUCCAGAGUACAUCGAGACACGAGAAACCUUGAUGGAAUGAGCGGGGACCACCCCGUAAGCCUAAAUACUCCUUAGUGACCGAUAGCGCAUAGUACUGUGAAGGAAAGGUGAAAAGGACCCCGGGAGGGGAGUGAAAGAGAACCUGAAACCCUGUGUUUACAAGCUGUGGGACAUCUUUACAUGAUGAACCGCGUACUUUUUGUAGAACGGUCCGGCGAGUUGCGGAUGCCGGCAAGGUUAAGCACUUAAGGUGUGGAGCCGAAGGGAAACCAAGUCUGAAGAGGGCGCAUAUAGUCAGUAUCCGCAGACCCGAAACCGGGUGAUCUACCCAUGUCCAGGUUGAAGUUGCCGUAAAAGGCAAUGGAGGACCGAACGCACAUCCGUUGAAAAGGGUGGCGAUGAGGUGUGGGUAGGGGAGAAAUUCCAAUCGAACCCGGAGAUAGCUGGUUCUCCUCGAAAUAGCUUUAGGGCUAGCCUCAUAUUAGUCUUGCGGAGGUAGAGCACUGAAUAUCCUAGGGGGCGUCAAAGCUUACCGAAGAUUAUCAAACUCCGAAUGCCGUAAAGAUGAUGUAUGGGAGUCAGACUGCACGAGAUAAGUUGGGUAGUCAAAAGGGAAAGAGCCCAGACCUACAGCUAAGGUCCCAAAGUACGUGUUAAGUGGAAAAGGAUGUGGGAUUUCGAAGACAACUAGGAUGUUGGCUCAGAAGCAGCCAUACAUUCAAAGAGUGCGUAAUAGCUCACUAGUCGAGAGGUCCUGCGCCGAAAAUGUCCGGGGCUGAAACACGACACCGAAGCUUAGGAAUCGAAAGAUUGGUAGAGGAGCAUUGAAUACGGAACGAAGCAGUACCGGAAGGAGCUGUGGACUGUAUUGAAGAGAGAAUGCCGGAAUGAGUAGCGAGAUUUAAGUGAGAAUCUUAAAGGCCGAAUAUCUAAGGUUUCCAGGGUAAAGCUGAUCUUCCCUGGGUAAGUCGGGGCCUAAGGCGAGGACGAAAGUCGUAGUCGAUGGAUAACAGGUUGAAAUUCCUGUACCGCAUAUAUUCAGAAAUGUGGGGACACAGAUGGAGAGUACAGCCCGGGAAUGGAUAGACCGGGGCAAGCGAGGUAGGAGAAUGGCAGGCAAAUCCACCAUUCAAUCUGAAGACGUGACGCGUACCGAACAAGAGUAGGGAAGUGUAUGAGCCAGCUGUCGAGAAAAGCCGCUAUUGUGAUAUAUGCGCCCGUACCGUAAACCGACACAGGUGGAUGAGGAGAGAAUCCUAAGGCCGGCGGGAGAAGUGUUGUUAAGGAACUCGGCAAAAUGACCCCGUAACUUCGGGAGAAGGGGUGCCUCGGAAGAGGCCGCAGAGAAAUGGCCCAAGCAACUGUUUAGCAAAAACAUAGGUCUAUGCAAAACCGAAAGGUGAGGUAUAUGGGCUGACGCCUGCCCGGUGCUGGAAGGUUAAGAGGAGAGCUUAGCGCAAGCGAAGGUUUGAAUUUAAGCCCCAGUAAACGGCGGCCGUAACUAUAACGGUCCUAAGGUAGCGAAAUUCCUUGUCGGGUAAGUUCCGACCCGCACGAAAGGCGUAAUGAUUUGGGCACUGUCUCAACAACACAC
rnacentral:rRNA from 1 species